CCCAAAUAAACAUGAUUUGACUGUCCAUCAGUUUCAUCAGUGUCCCGCGGCUCAUAAGCCAACGGUUUCAUGUGUGGACGGAUAACGCUCUCAACUCUAGCACUGUGUACUUUAUCUAAAGAAUGCUGCUGUCUCUGGGAAUUAUGUCUCGACAAAAGCAGAAUUUGCUGUGGCUGAUGAUCAUCUGUUGUGCUACGUGCCAGAUAACAAGUUCAGAAAACUCGACAGAUCAGUGUUUCUGGAACAGCAGUAGCUCAACACAAGUUAUUGAAUGGACCUGUCCAUCAGUUGAUGAAAAAAUGAAUCAGGAAGAUGAGGAUGAAGGUGUUGAACCCUCAGAAGCAUCAGACGCCUUGGACGAACUGGAGUCUGACAUGGAAGAAAUGGAAAAUAACAAUAUAAGCAAUGCAGUGAUUGUCAUGAGGAAUGUCUUCUCCAAAUACACGAUGAGAACACAACAACCGAAGACAUGUGCUACUCAUCAAAUCAGAACACGAUAAACGAUGUUGACUGUCAAAGUAUCCCAAAUACAAACUUUUCAUGGGCUGUAAAGAUUCCCAAGGAAGCAGUGUAUAAAUGACGACGGGAAAACAAUGGAUGUGCGUUUGUUGCAGUUCUACGGUUCAUAAAUAUGAGAAACAAGAAUCAAACUGCAAACCGGACUGUUUUGAACAAUGAGGUUUAUGGAAUAGCGAUGAAGGCCAAUAUCUCCAACCUUACUGAAAAUAUUGAAAUGUUCAUUACACAGAAAGAUCCGGUCAGUAAGCCAUCCUGCCAUUCUUGGGAUGGAAACGGAGAGCUUAAUUGGACGACGUUCGGCUGUGAGACAGAAACAAUCGAACAAUCAAACACCAUAAAGUGCUCCUGCUCACAUCUGACGUUCUUUGCAGUGCUGAUGAUCCCUCAGUCAGAUGCAAAUAAAACAGCACUGCAUCUGAAAGCAUUGACUUUUAUCACUUCUAUCGGCUGCGGCAUCUCCAUGUUUUUUUAUGGCUGUAGCUUUAUUCAUGGAUUUCCUGCUACGGUAGAGUAUCGUCAUAUCUGUGUCCCUGCAGCACAGAAGCAGUCAUCAGUAGCACAGGUAUAUUUGUAGCAAUAGACAACAAAACAUUGUAUGAGUCACAAUUAUACAUUUCUCUUUUAUGCCAAAAAUCAUUAGGAUAUUAAUUAAAGAUCAUGUUCCAUGAAGAUAUUUUGUACA
ensembl:lncRNA